AUAACUAUGGCAGAGAGCAGGAGGAUUGACAUGGCCCUGAGGCAAGACUAUGAAAGUGUACUCUUAGCCCUGACGAGUAGAAACAAACUGUUCCUGGUGGUCUUUACAAAUUGGUAUGGAGGAAAAGGCAUACAGCAGCUUCUGAUAGGAAUUUCCUCGCUGACCUUCCAGUCGCCACUAACAGUCUCUUCCAAACUUCUCCAUUCCUUCUAUCAGACUCAAAAACAAUGUCACAUGUUAUGGCAGGACCUCACUUUCAGCAUGAAUCCGAGAGGUAGUGUAACUAAACUCUCUCAUCAAAAUGCUUCCACAGAGCCAAUGAUUUCAACAGUGCUGUUUGGGGCCUCCCCGAGGGAGGUGUUACCUAUUCUUUCAGUUCCUCCUGUUGAA
rnacentral:lncRNA from 1 species